rnacentral:lncRNA from 1 species
UACAUGAUGAUAGGAUUGUUCUAGAGGAGAAGAAGGGGAGGAGAAGACAUUAUUACCUGACAGAGAGCCUAGUGUGAGGUAGAGCUUCAGGAGCUAAGAGAAGUUCAGAGUGAGGUGAAGCUCCAAGUGGAGGUAGAUCGAACAUGAGACAGGAGACUCGAGAGGAUGAGAAGCGACGUCGCAAGAUGAAAUUUCUAUUGCCACAGGAUGAUGCCCCAAGCAGG